CAAUAAGUAAUUUAAGUAAAAAUAUAGACUUUGGGUGUCUAAUUUUGAGAUUUGGGCUCACUCAUUGA
rnacentral:tRNA from 1 species